GCCAGGCGUGGUGGCACACGCCUGUAAUCCCAGCUACUCAGGAGGCUGAGACAGGAGAAUCUCUUGAACCCAGGAGGCGGAGGUUGCAGUGAGCCGAGAUCACGCCACUGCACUCCAGCCUGGGUGACAGAGUGAGACUCUGUCUCAA
rnacentral:SRP_RNA from 1 species